AUGAUUGUAGCUCAGUGGUAGAGCACUUGCCUAGCAUAUAUGAGGCCCAAGGUUUGAUCCCUAGGGCCAUA
rnacentral:tRNA from 1 species